rnacentral:lncRNA from 1 species
AGAAGAUAUUCGUUAAAAACAAUAAGUUCAUACAACUCCAAGAAUAUAAAAUUAAAAUAUAAAACCCUUGGCCCUUUGUUAGGGCUGCAUCCAGCCCUAGUGAAGAGAUCAGCCUUCCAUGGAGUCGUGGGCGAUAGCAGUAGCGAUAUAGAAAGCCUUCAUCACGACUAGGUUCUCCCUCUUUUCUCCCGUCGGCUUCCUCUCCCUUUUGAACUUCAUUAUUUUUUUCUUUGAGAAAUCAUUCCCAAAAUACCCAAACUACUAUCUCUCCCUCUUAUUUUUGUGGGAACUUGGUCUGGGAACCCAAGCUUCUCCAGCGAAGAGAUCCACCCCGGUGGGGAAGAGGAGGAAACCUUACCCAAGAAAAACUCUGAUAAGGAUGUGGAGAGGCUAACUUGAUUCGAAAGAUGUUGCAUACACUCCAACGUGGAAGAAGAUCAUGGGAUAUGGCCUCGGAAGAUCAUCC